GGAGGGACUGUGAUUCAGUGGCAGAAGAUCUGCUUUGCAUGCAGAAGGUCCCAUGUUCAAUCCCCAGCAUCUCCA
rnacentral:tRNA from 1 species